AGACCGAUAGCGAACAAGUAGAGUGAUCGAAAGAUGAAAAGCACUUUGAAAAGAGGGUUAAAUAGCACGUGAAAUUGUUGAAAGGGAAGGAUUUAUGACCAGACUUUUUCUAGGGGGAUCAUCCGGUGUUCUCACCGGUGCACUUCCCCUAGUUGAGGCCAGCAUCGGUUUCUGUCGGGGGAUAAAAGCUUCGGGAAUGUGGCUCCCUCCGGGGAGUGUUAUAGCCCGUUGCAUAAUACCCUGACGGGGACCGAGGUUCGCGCAUUGCAAGGAUGCUGGCGUAAUGGUUAUUAAUCACCCGUCUUGAAACACGGACCAAG
rnacentral:rRNA from 1 species